rnacentral:lncRNA from 1 species
UGAGAGAGAGAGAGAGAGAGAGAGAGAGAGAGAGUUGAGCUGGAAUGCUAUCGGUAGCAAAAGGACUGCGUUGCCACCCAUAUAUUUUCGAUGAUGGAGCCUCCAAAUCAAUGAUUGGCACUGUUGAACAUGAUUUAUAUCACUUGAAGCAUAUAAAAAUCAAAUUUCAAAUCUUUUCGACAUCAUUGACCUAAUACAAAGGGUUUCAGAAUUUGUAAUUUUAAUGGUCAAUGUGAGGCGUUUUUUCGUUUAACGGUGUAAAAAUAUCCAAAUCAAUUGAAUUUUGGUUAGAAAAUUCUUUAAACUAUUUAGAACUUGAUCUAUAUUCUCGAUCUUGAUUACAAGAUUCAUAUAAUCACUUUUUAAAAAAUAUUCAUUUUUAGCUGUUCAUUUUUGUGUCCAGUUGAUGGACAAGAGAACAAUAUCGAAAAAGUAUAAAAUUUGGUUUCUAGAUGCUUCAAGUAGGGCAGAUCAUGUUCAACAGUGCCGAUUGUCAAUUUGGAUGCUCCAUCAUCGAACACGAAUGGGCGGCAACGGAGCCCGUUUGCUACCAACAGCAUUCUAG